rnacentral:tRNA from 1 species
GUGAACGUGCCGGAGUGGUUAUUGGGCAUGACUAGAAAUCAUGUAAGCUCUGCCCGCGCAGGUUCAAAUCCUGCCGUCCACG